CUUCACCGACCCCAGCCACAACGGCGUCUCCGGGUCGCGGUCCUUGCCGUAGGUGGCCAGCAGGGCCUGCGCCUC
rfam:Amycolatopsis mediterranei S699, complete genome.